rnacentral:rRNA from 1 species
AUUGAACGCUGGCGGCAGGCCUAACCCCCCCCAGUCGAACGAGUGGCGGACGGGUGAGUAAUGUCUGGGAAACUGCCUGAUGGAGGGGGAUAACUACUGGAAACGGUAGCUAAUACCGCAUACCAAGGGCUGUGCCCAGAUGGGAUUAGCUCGGAGGUGGGGUAAAGGCUCACCUAGGCGACGAUCCCUAGCUGGUCUGAGAGGAUGACCAGCCACAAUGGAAAUGAGACACGGUCCAGACGCCUACGGUGGGCAGCAGUGGGGAAUAUUGCACAAUGGGCGCAAGCCUGAUGCAGCCAUGCCGCGUGUAUGAAGAAGGCCUUGGGGUUGUAAAGUACUUUCAGCGGGGAGGCGUUACCCGCAGAAGAAGCACCGGCUAACUCCGUGCCAGCCGCCGCGGUAAUUC